GACGAACGCUGGCGGCGUGCUUAACACAUGCAAGUCGAGCGGUAAGGCUCCUUCGGGAGUACACGAGCGGCGAACGGGUGAGUAACACGUGAGCAAUCUGCCCUUCACUUUGGGAUAAGCACCGGAAACGGUGUCUAAUACCGAAUACGACCACUUCCGGCAUCGGAUGGUGGUGGAAAAGUUCCGGCGGUGAAGGAUGAGCUCGCGGCCUAUCAGCUUGUUGGUGGGGUAACGGCCCACCAAGGCUUCGACGGGUAGCCGGCCUGAGAGGGUGACCGGCCACACUGGGACUGAGACACGGCCCAGACUCCUACGGGAGGCAGCAGUGGGGAAUAUUGGACAAUGGGCGAAAGCCUGAUCCAGCAACGCCGCGUGAGGGAUGACGGCCUC
rnacentral:rRNA from 1 species